rnacentral:rRNA from 1 species
GGGUUGUGAGGUUAAGCGACUAAGCGUACACGGUGGAUGCCCUGGCAGUCAGAGGCGAUGAAGGACGUGCUAAUCUGCGAGAAGCGUCGGUAAGGGGAUAUGAACCGUUAUAACCGGCGAUGUCCGAAUGGGGGAACCCAGUGUGU